GGAUGUGAGGGCAAUAUGUCUAUGACAUCUGUCACCCCAUGUGAUUGCCAGUGUUGACUUGGCUGAUCUGGCUUGUGAGGACCGUGUCCACUUCCUCCCUCACUGCUGCAUAUGCAUCCCUGACUGGUCUUCUGUUAAGGGUAUAUAUGAAGCUGUGCUUCCCUGCUAGAACCUCCAAACAAGCUGUCAAAGUUAAGUCGUUGGUCAUUGGUGACUGAACUCAAUCUUAAGCUCCCAAUAUUCCUCCCAUAAAGAAGUAUGAAGGAUGGGGGCUAUU
ensembl:misc_RNA 7SK 7SK RNA